rnacentral:rRNA from 1 species
CCAGACUCCUACGGGAGGCACCAGUGGGGAAUAUUGGGCAAUGGGCGCAAGCCUGACCCAGCAACGUCGCGUGAAGGAAGAAGGCUUUCCGGUUGUCACCUUCUCUUCUCAGCCACGAACCACGUGACGGUACCUGACGCAUCCGCCACGGCUCCCCACGUGUCAGCACCACGGGUAAUACGUAGGUCCGAAGCCUCAUCCGGAUCUACUGCGUGUCGAGGGCGGGUAGGCGGGACUCCAAGUCAGAUGUGAAAAGCACGGGCUCAACCUGUGGCCUGCAGUUGAAACUGUAGUUCUUGGGUACUGGAGAGGCAGACGGAAUUCCUGUUGUAGCUGUAGAAUGCGUAGAUAUUAGGAGGAACACCAGUGGCGAAGGCGGUCUGCUGGACAGCAACUGACGCUGAGGCGCGAAAGCGUGGGGAGCAAACAGGAUUAGAUACCCCAGUA